GCGGAGAACCCCUGCAGACUGUGGUGGGACAUGUGAUGGGACAGUCCUCGGAGGCGGUGCAGGGCAGCUACGUCAGGACCGAGCUCCUCCCACUCGUCUUCUGCCAGAUCUAAACCUUCCGUGAGGAUGAGGAGGC